rnacentral:rRNA from 1 species
AUUGAACGCUGGCGGCAUGCUUUACACAUGCAAGUCGAACGGUAACAGGGAGCUUGCUCCGCUGACGAGUGGCGAACGGGUGAGUAAUGCGUCGGAACGCACCGAGUAAUGGGGGAUAACGCUUCGAAAGGAGUGCUAAUACCGCAUACGCUCUGAGGAGGAAAGCGGGGGAUCUUAGGACCUCGCGUUAUUCGAGCGGCCGACGUCUGAUUAGCUAGUUGGUGAGGUAAAGGCUCACCAAGGCGACGAUCAGUAGCGGGGUCUGAGAGGAUGAUCCGCCACACUGGGACUGAGACACGGCCCAGACUCCUACGGGAGGCAGCAGUGGGGAAUUUUGGACAAUGGGCGCAAGCCUGAUCCAGCCAUGCCGCGUGUCGUAGAAGAAGGCCGUUCGGGUUACGUAAAGGUACUUUUGUCGGGGAGAAAAAUCCUGGAAUCCUAACUACGGUCGGGAUGAUAGUACCGAAGAAUAAGCACCGGCUAACUACGUG